UUAUUUCUCCUCUCUACGACUUUUUCAUCUUCUUCGUUUCUCUCUGUCUCGAGUCAACAAUCCGACAAACACAAAGCUUUCAAUCUCUUUUCUUCUUUUUUUUUCUCUCUUUUCUCGAUUCCAUCGAUACUCAUUCAUCUUUUUCAUCUUCCCUCUUCACUCGUUUCUAUCGAUCCAAAGAUCCGUCCUCUCCCUUCUUCUUCGUGAGAAAUUCGCAGUGAAAUCGAGAAAUCCGCCGUGAGAAAUCCGCCGUGAGAACUCCGCCGUGUCUUCUCUUUGUAAGAUUUCAUUUGUUUGAUCCCUAAUUUUGUUUUAUUGUGUUGGGUUUAAUUAGGAUUUGAUUUCUUCCAAUUUAUUCUUCUAUGUGAGGGUUUGAUAUGUAAUUCUCUUUGAUUUUGUUUGAAACAAAUGCAUUUUGAAUGGAAUUUCGAUUACAAUUAGGAUUUUUUAUGAUUACAGUUCGGAUUUUAAGAUUACUAAUAGGAUUUGAAUUACAAUUCGGGUUUGAAAUUCGGACGACAUGUAGCUACUUUUUCUUGUUUUUAUUUGGAGAUAUUGAGUGAAAGUUGUAACUUUGUUUGUAAACUCUUCUUAAAAUGAUUGAUUUCUCUUGGUCAAUUUUGGAAGAAAUCUGGUUUCAAGUAAGUUAAUAAGGAGUGGAUUGCAGACAUAGAUGAAAUUUUUUGUACGUAUAUAUUAGCCUAUAACAUUUGUUUCUCUAUUACGAGAGGAGGAAAAGGAAAAGGAGACUGAGACUGAGACUGAGAAGGAGAAGGAGAAAGAGAAGGAUAAGGAGAAGAAGAAGCAGAAGAAGACUUGGUGUGUUCAGAUGUGUUUUGGUUUCUAAUGUUAUGUAUGAAUCUAAGUGUUUAGGUACAACUGGUACACUUAUGUACAACUAUGUAUCUGGGUUUGUAUGAAUCUAAGUUUUUUUGACAGAAAAAUCACCAAAAAACUAUGAGUCAAAGUGUUUUGAUCAAAAAAUUCACAACAACACUAUGAAUCUACUAAGUAU
rnacentral:lncRNA from 1 species